rnacentral:rRNA from 1 species
AUUGAACGCUGGCGGCAUGCUUUACACAUGCAAGUCGAACGGUAACAGGCCUUCGGGUGCUGACGAGUGGCGAACGGGUGAGUAAUGCAUCGGAACGUGCCCAGGGGUGGGGGAUAACGCAGCGAAAGCUGUGCUAAUACCUCAUGUGAUCUGAGGAUGAAAGCGGGGGACCAAGCAGCAAUGUUUGGCCUCGCGCCUCUGGAGCGGCCGAUGUCAGAUUAGGUAGUUGGUGGGGUAAAGGCCUACCAAGCCGACGAUCUGUAGCUGGUCUGAGAGGACGACCAGCCACACUGGGACUGAGACACGGCCCAGACUCCUACGGGAGGCAGCAGUGGGGAAUUUUGGACAAUGGGCGCAAGCCUGAUCCAGCAAUGCCGCGUGCGGGAAGAAGGCCUUCGGGUUGUAAACCGCUUUUGUACGGAACGAAAAGGCUCUGGCUAAUACCUGGGGCUGAUGACGGUACCGGAAGAAUAAGCACCGGCUAACUACGUG